UCUGGCAUGUGUCCACUAUUACUGUGGUCACAGAUGACAAAUUCUGAUGUCAGCACAGUGGGAUUGAGUCUAAAAAGCAACUUCUCCUCCAAGGGAAGAGAACGGGCCUCCUCCAAGGCCUGCCCUACCGACCAUCAGCCGCCUCCUCCACUCUCCCACAGGCCUGUCUAUUCCCCGGCUGUCUGGCUUGCUUUGUUCUUAAGAAACCAACCAACCAAUACCAGCAGACCAAGCUUUCUUAAAGAGUCGUGAAAUCACAGACUGUGAAUGAGGGAGGCAGCUCUGAAACCCAGACCCAAUCCCUCUGCCUCUCUGAAAAGGUAUCUGUGGGCACAGGAGAGCUCAGGACAUGCCGUCCUGGGGCCACAGGAGGAAGGACUCUCAAACGUGAAGAAACCACCCUUGGCAAACAACUGGAUAGUAAAGUUCACACAACACAA